rnacentral:rRNA from 1 species
AGUCGAGCGGAACGAGUUAUCUGAACCUUCGGGGAACGAUAACGGCGUCGAGCGGCGGACGGGUGAGUAAUGCCUAGGAAAUUGCCCUGGUGUGGGGGAUAACCAUUGGAAACGAUGGCUAAUACCGCAUAAUACCUUCGGGUCAAAGAGGGGGACCUUCGGGCCUCUCGCGUCAGGAUAUGCCUAGGUGGGAUUAGCUAGUUGGUGAGGUAAUGGCUCACCAAGGCGACGAUCCCUAGCUGGUCUGAGAGGAUGAUCAGCCACACUGGAACUGAGACACGGUCCAGACUCCUACGGGAGGCAGCAGUGGGGAAUAUUGCACAAUGGGCGCAAGCCUGAUGCAGCCAUGCCGCGUGUGUGAAGAAGGCCUUCGGGUUGUAAAGCACUUUCAGUCGUGAGGAAGGUAGUGUAGUUAAUAGCUGCAUUAUUUGACGUUAGCGACAGAAGAAGCACCGGCUAACUCCGUGCCAGCAGCCGCGGUAAUACGGAGGGUGCGAGCGUUAAUCGGAAUUACUGGGCGUAAAGCGCAUGCAGGUGGUUUGUUAAGUCAGAUGUGAAAGCCCGGGGCUCAACCUCGGAAUAGCAUUUGAAACUGGCAGACUAGAGUACUGUAGAGGGGGGUAGAAUUUCAGGUGUAGCGGUGAAAUGCGUA